UCGUUCGAAGCAAACCAGUGCAUUCGCCCUUUCUCGUAUCACUUCUCACGUAUCGCGGUUUCCUUCGUUCGUCGAAGUCGCUCGCCGCUCAUCCCCCGCAGCCGGAGGCUUGCGGAGGAGGAGAAAGAGACACUGAAACCUUGAGAGUUUUGACGUCCUCGCACGGCGCUUUCUUUCCAUGUGGCCUGCCGUCUCUUCGCUUCUCCAUCGAUGAAGAAGAUUUUUGGGAGCUGCUUUUGGGCUACCAUGAAGCUGUUAUACCAUGUGACAUGUUUGAUUUUAUGCACAAUGCCGUGGCACUAGCUUCAACUAGUUGAAUCCGUGGAGGGAUCUGCUACCAUCUGUUGUUGCUUUCAGCUGCUAGAAACGUCUUGCUAAAAGGGAAAUGAUGAUUCAACAAAUGAGUCAAUGCUUCUGCUUCCAAAGAGAACAUUCCAGCCAAGCCAUGUUAAGCGCAAGAGGACUCAUGGUUACCUUGCAUGGAAGUCUACCAAGGGUGGGCGUAAGGUCAUCGCUCGCAGGUUGGCAAAGGGCAGAGCAAGGAUUGCGGUCUAGGAUGUUGCUGUAACAAGUCAGAUGGAUGCGGGUGGUACAGGAUCAUGCCAUGGCGACUCCAUAUCUCCAUGAUCCGAGAUGUUGAGAUCAGAUGCUCAGUAUUACAGCAAAGUUUUAGUGUCAAAAAUUGGAAAUCUCUUAGUGCAACUAUUAUUUGUAAACUUGUCAUUGGGUGUUCUUCAUCUAUUUUCCAAUAUUUCUUUUGGUUCAAUUUACAUUGACAUGGAGAAUUUCAAAUGGAUGUUGUUAUGAAUAAUUUUGUUUUACACAAAGAUAGCUUUAUGAAGAGAAAUGGAUGAAGAGGCAUGCCUUGUAGUGUUUAUUAACCAUCUCUCCUCAUCUUGAAGUGUAUACAGGUUCAAAUAUUUGACCCAGGUAAUUCUCCUGGUGGGGAUUAUGAUGUGCAUCCAAGGGAUUCUCCAUUGUGCUGAUGCGAGUGCUCCAAAUCAGAGUCCGACAGUACUAUCUCCUCUGAGGUUUGGCCAACUUCUACAGAUCUCACCAAUGUGCAUCAUGCUUCUUGGAUUGAGGGAGACAAAGAAGCAAAGGUGUCAUUGUACCAAGUAGGACUAUGUCCUGUAGCUCAAUAGCAGGCCCCCAAAUAAGGUUUGCUGACUCUCUCCUCUGAAAGCUGCACUUUGUUGGAUGUACUGCAUUAUUUGAGUUGUGCGCCUCACAAGCCAGGACUUGGAUCCUUGGUAAUGUCUCUCUCUCCUUGCCCACGAGUGAUGCAGAGACUGAGAACGUUUCAAGUCUUGCUGUCAUAUAAACUAGAUGUAGUUCCUCUGAUCUGAGAUCCUUCUCUCUUCAGCCAUCGAACAGAUAAGAAAUCUGCGGCCUGCAAAGCCAUCAAGAUGCUAAUGGCUACCUGCCUUUGAUGCAUACUGGCAUUCUGCUGCAGAAUAAGGCAAGUAAGGUGGAUCCAACAAAGCUGGGAGUUCAAGUCAUCAUACAUCAGUAUAAUACACAGUGAAAUUCCUAGUAUUGUCUUCACUGGCUGUUCAUGGAUCACAAGCAGCUCACCCUGUGGUCUGGAUGGAGACAUGCUCUUCUUCAACAAUUUCCAUCUCCCACCUGCACACGCAGAGAGGAUAAGAGAGGAUCAGUGACACAACACAUGCCAAGGUAAAAUGAUUGAUAGCAGGGCUGGGCUGUGCUGUGCCAAAGAAACUUUUCCCUGCCCACUUGCCUGCUAAAUGGCAAAUCUGUGUCUGCGCCUCAUACAAUGCAGAAACAAAGAAAGAAACAAAAGCUUGAAAUGCCUCUGCUGCCUUCAGAUCUACCUCCAUCCUCCACAUUCCUAUGGCUCUCUGAAACUUGCAGCAAUACAUGACAAUGAAUUAUAGGGUGGCAUCUUGGAAUCUAAUAUGUUGUACUUUACCCUUAUAUCUGUCAAGCCCCUCUAUGUUGCUGGGAAGCCAUGUGCAUAUGCGACAUCUCACUGUUUUUGUUUCCAUAUGAAGGUUUAACCCAUUGUUA